rnacentral:rRNA from 1 species
GACGAACGCUGGCGGCGUGCUUAACACAUGCAAGUCGAACGGUAAGGCCCUUCGGGGUACACGAGUGGCGAACGGGUGAGUAACACGUGGGUGAUCUGCCCUGCACUUCGGGAUAAGCCUGGGAAACUGGGUCUAAUACCGGAUAGGACCACUGCCUGCAUGGGUGGUGGUGGAAAGCUUUUGCGGUGUGGGAUGGGCCCGCGGCCUAUCAGCUUGUUGGUGGGGUGAUGGCCUACCAAGGGGACGACGGGUAGCCGGCCUGAGAGGGUGACCGGCAACACUGGGACUGAGAUACGGCCCAGACUCCUACGGGAGGCAGCAGUGGGGAAUAUUGCACAAUGGGCGCAAGCCUGAUGCAGCGACGCCGCGUGAGGGAUGACGGCCUUCGGGUUGUAAACCUCUUUCAGCACCGACGAAGCGCAAGUGACGGUAGGUGCAGAAGAAGGACCGGCCAACUACGUGCCAGCCGCCGCAGUAA